AUCGUAGCCGCUGUCUUUUAAUUCGCUGAACUAUGUCAAUGUCAUCAUACAUAUAUAUCGAGCAGAUAUUGUUAACGCGUGCAUAAAGAAAUCGGAAUUGUGGUCUCAUGUACAAAAAUUAAAAUUGACUGCCAAUAUGCGAAUAAAUCUUUGUGGAGCUGGACCAUCCAAUCGGUUUGCAGAGUUCCUACUUAAAAUAGGAACCUGUGUUAGAACAGUUUACCAACUUAUUGAUAACGUGUAUCCAGAUAUUAUUAAUUUGCACCACAAGGACUCUAAGUGGUUAUAUGAGCGAGCUAUAAUUACUUCGACGAAUUCCGCUGCAGACGAAAUUAACAAAGCCGUUUGUCAAAGAAUAUUAU